GGUGUUUUCCUACUUUUGGCACAUUUCUCCUAAAUUUGGAAAGUGAAGGAAAGCCGGUGGAAGUGUUGCUCUCAGCUAAACCAAUCAUACGGGUAAAGUCGUCUGUUUAAAAUGCCUGUGGUAUCAAAGUGAAGGAUCAGCUGGCAGACAUGUAAGAAAGUGAUCGACUGACCAGUCCACCUAAAGAUGAAACAAAGCUGCCAAUGAAGUGACUUAUCAGAGACAGAAGCAGGUAGGACAACCUAGGACC